rnacentral:rRNA from 1 species
UACGGGGGGGGCGAGCGUUGUUCGGAAUCACUGAGCAUAAAAAGCACGUAAGCGGUUGGUUAAGUCAGGAGUGAAAGGCACGGGCUCAACCUGUGGACUGCUCUUGAAACUGGCUGACUAAAGACCGGCAAAGGGUGACGGAAUUCCCCAUGUAAAGAUGAAAUUCGUAGAUAUGAGAAGGAACACCAGAGGCGAAAGCGGUUGCCUGGACCAGUUCUGACGCUGAGGCGCGAAAGCGUGGGGAGCAAACAGG